rnacentral:rRNA from 1 species
CAACCUACCUAUCAGAGGGGAAUAACCCGGCGAAAGUCGGACUAAUACCGCAUAAAACAGGGGCACCGCAUGGUGAUAUUUGUUAAAGAAAUUCGCUGAUAGAUGGGCAUGCGUUCCAUUAGGUAGUUGGUGAGGUAACGGCUCACCAAGCCGACGAUGGAUAGGGGAACUGAGAGGUUGGUCCCCCACACUGGUACUGAGACACGGACCAGACUCCUACGGGAGGCAGCAGUGAGGAAUAUUGGUCAACGGGCGAGAGCCUGAACCAGCCAAGUCGCGUGAAGGAAGAAGGAUCUAUGGUUUGUAAACUUCUUUUGCAGGGGAAUAAAGUGCAGGACGUGUCCUGUUUUGUAUGUACCCUGAGAAUAAGGAUCGGCUAACUCCGUGCCAGCAGCCGCGGUAAUACGGAGGAUCCAAGCGUUAUCCGGAUUUAUUGGGUUUAAAGGGAGCGUAGGUUGACAUAUAAGUCAGCUGUGAAAGUUUACGGCUCAACCGUGAAAUUGCAGUUGAUACUGUAUGUCUUGAGUGUACAAGAGGUGGGCGGAAUUCGUGGUGUAGCGGUGAAAUGCUUAGAUAUCACGAAGAACUCCGAUUG